rnacentral:lncRNA from 1 species
GGCCAUUAUGAGCAUGGAGGAGCAGACUUCCCUUCUGGGUGCUAACAGGUUCUGUGGAGUAGUUCUGAGAUGUGAGUUGGUGAGAGAAUGAUGUCCAGAGCCAGCAGAUCAGGCCAAACUCCAGGGCUGCACACCUACCAAGGGCAAGAGGAAGACAGAGAGCUGUAGGACUGCAGGUGGAUGCUAACGAGGACCCGUAGUCCACUGAGUGCCUGGUAAUGGAUUCUGAUGGCUUGGAAUAUACUGGAGAUACAGCCUUCAGCCAUCGUUUUUCAACCACCUCGGGGAAUCAGUGCUUAAUGGGCUCCACGACAGACACAGCUUCUCCAGAAUGGCGCCAAGCAGUACACUCUGUGGACAAGGACUAAGUGUCCCCACCUGGAGCCCCAGUUUUUCCUUGCAGAGGAACUUGCAAGGAGCUGCAGGGAGCGUGCAGGGAGCUACAGAGAACUUAUCCCACCCUCGGCCAUCAAAGCAAGGUACCAGCCUCUACCUCUGCAGCCACAAGACCAUGGUGAACAGCUGUGAGUCCUGAGCACUUCAGAGUCAGUGUAUUACUGAUCCCUUCAAGACAGUGCCGCUUGCCAUCAGGGCCUCAAUAACCGUGAGCUCGUUAUUCGUUCACUAGAAGACUCCAGGCAGUGGCUGCCAAGGUCAUUACAGUGAUAGCAGAGGUUUGCAUAGAGUCAGAUAAUACUGAUCAUUUUGAUGGAAAGGAAUCCUGAAGUUUGAGGCAUAAUGUUAAAGUGACAACAAUAGAAAUUUUUGGAGAUUGGAUAAAGAAGACGUUUUUCUAUAAAAUGGAAUACUACUCAGCCAUAAAGAAUGAGAAAUUAGAGUCAUUUGUAGGAAAAUGGACACAUAUUGAGGAUAUACUCCUAAGUGAAAUAAAUAAGUCACAUAUAUAUAAAUACUGAAUAAUUUAUCUGGUGUGAAAAACUAUAAUAGUACAUAAUAUCCUAAUGAUAUAAUUGAGAAUGUGAAAUAGAAAGAAAAGGGCUAAAGGUGUAGGGGAA